AGCGAACGCUGGCGGCGUACUUAACACAUGCAAGUCGAACGGGGAUCGUCAGUGUAGCAAUACAUCGGCGGUCCUAGUGGCGCACGGGUGAGUAACACGUGGGUAACCUGCCCUUGAGUUCGGGAUACCCUCUCGAAAGGGAGGCUAAUACCGGAUACGUUCCUCGGAUUGCGAAGUCUGGGGAGGAAAGGUGGCGCAAGCUGCCGCUCUUGGAGGGGCUCGCGGCCUAUCAGCUAGUUGGUGAGGUAACGGCUCACCAAGGCUAUGACGGGUAGCUGGUCUGAGAGGACGACCAGCCACACGGGAACUGAGACACGGUCCCGACUCCUACGGGAGGCAGCAGUGGGGAAUUUUCCGCAAUGGGCGAAAGCCUGACGGAGUGACGCCGCGU
rnacentral:rRNA from 1 species